rnacentral:rRNA from 1 species
GGCUCAGAGUGAACGCUGGCGGCAGGCCUAACACAUGCAAGUCGAACGGCAGCACAGCAGUAGCAAUACUGUGGGUGGCGAGUGGCGGACGGGUGAGGAAUACAUCGGAAUCUACCUAAUAGUGGGGGAUAACGUUUCGAAAGGAACGCUAAUACCGCAUACGUUCUGAGGAAGAAAGCAGGGGAUCGCAAGACCUUGCGCUAUUAGAUGAGCCUGCGUCCGAUUAGCUAGUUGGUGGGGUAAAGGCCUACCAAGGCGACGAUCGGUAACUGGUCUGAGAGGAUGAUCAGUCACACUGGAACUGAGACACGGUCCAGACUCCUACGGGAGGCAGCAGUGGGGAAUAUUGGACAAUGGGGGCAACCCUGAUCCAGCCAUGCCGCGUGUGUGAAGAAGGCCUUCAGGUUGUAAAGCACUUUAAGCGGGGAGGAAGGCUCUAUGGCUAAUAUCCAUGGGGAUUGACGUUACCCGCAGAAUAAGCACCGGCAAACUUCGUG